AUCUUUUCAACUCCUAACUUUUAAUUUUGUGCAUAGGAUUAGCCUCUUAAUCUUCUCCCCAUUUCUUAAAUUUCAAAAUCUCUCCCUCCCUUUUCAAAAUCUUAUUUUGUUCUAAACUUUGACCACUUUGCAAAAAGAUAGAAACUUUGGCCUUAUGCCAUUGCAUUUUCAAACUUCUUUUCUUAAAUCAAACUUGUAAAUAAAUUUAACUAUACUUGACUUAAACUUUCAAAAAAC
rnacentral:lncRNA from 1 species